UAGGGAAUUUUUCACAAUGAGCGAAAGCUUGAUGGAGCAAUGCCGCGUGAACGAUGAAGGUCUUUAAGAUUGUAAAGUUCUUUUAUUUGGGAAGAAUGACUUUAGCAGGUAAUGGCUAGAGUUUGACUGUACCAUUUUGAAUAAGUGACGACUAACUAUGUGCCAGCAGUCGCGGUAAUACAUAGGUCGCAAGCGUUAUCCGGAUUUAUUGGGCGUAAAGCAAGCGCAGGCGGAUUGAAAAGUCUGGUGUUAAAGGCAGCUGCUUAACAGUUGUAUGCAUUGGAAACUAUUAAUCUAGAGUGUGGUAGGGAGUUUUGGAAUUUCAUGUGGAGCGGUGAAAUGCGUAGAUAUAUGAAGGAACACCAGUGGCGAAGGCGAAAACUUAGGCCAUUACUGACGCUUAGGCUUGAAAGUGUGGGGAGCAAAUAGGAUUAGAUACCCUAGUAGUCCACACCGUAACGAUAGAUACUAGCUGUCGGGAGCGAUCCCCUCGGUAGUGAAGUUAACACAUUAAGUAUCUCGCCUGGGUAGUACAUUCGCAAGAAU
rnacentral:rRNA from 1 species